UCCAUUUCUAUCAGUUUCUUGACCGAAUGCUGAACAAAUUACGAUAUAAAAUGAUAAGGAAGCCAAGACACAGCUUUCGGAAAAGCUGAAAGCCCCUUUGAUGUUGGAAGCACAUCCUGUCAUGUAGAGUAUACUGAACGAGAUGAUGGCUGAAGACGACUUUACGGACAGGAUAAUUGGUGCAGCAGACAGAUGGAAGGAGGAAGGGGGCCUGGCACUGUACCUACAAGUGCAAGAGCACCUUCUUGAUGAAGCUGCUGUUCUGCACUCUAGAAUCCCUCAUUCCAUUCGCUCAAUCUAAGCAAAUGUCAUCUGGGGCUAUAGGCAUUCAGACAACUGUCCUAUUUGGAGGAUACUAGUUAUAGAGGAAGGAGAGCACGGCUGUCUCGAGUGUCGGUAACAGUGGAAAUGGAGAGAAGCAGAUGACUCUGAGGGCCAUUUAAAGCAGUAGACUACACUAAGGUGCUUGGUCCUUCCGGGGAAGCUGAGGCCACGCUGGGGUGAGACCCUCACUUCAUCUGGUGACUACCCUGUGCCCAGCCACACCCGCUUAGCACUUGCCCACCCUUCUCGGAGCUCGCCUGCAUCUAUGUGGCCCUGAGCCUACUCCACGAGGAGGUGAUAGUCACGGAAGAUAAGAUCAAUGCCCUCAUUAAAGCAGCGGGUGUAAGUGUUGAACUUUUCGGGCUUGUUUGCAAAGGCCACGGUCAGUGUCAACAUCAGCAAUGUAGGGGCUGGUGGAUCUGCCCUAGCAGCCUGGCCAGCCCAGCUAAGAAGUAGGUGGGAACAAAGAAGAAUCAGAGGAGUCUGAUGAAGACAUGGGUUUUGGUCUUUCCGGCUAAACCUCUUCUGUAACCUGUUCAAUAAAAAGCUGAACUCUUAAAAAAA